GACGUAGGAGGCGAGCGUUAUCCGGAUUCACUGGGCGUAAAGCGCAUGUAGGCGGAUGUCUAAGUCGUGUGUUAAAGCCCCUGGCUCAACUGGGGGAGGUCAUGCGAGACUGGAUGACUUGAGGGCAACAGAGGCACGUGGAACUCCCGGUGUAGCGGUGGAAUGCGUAGAGAUCGGGAAGAACACCCGUGGCGAAGGCGGCGUGCUGGGUUGCAACUGACGCUGAGAUGCGAAAGUGUG
rnacentral:rRNA from 1 species